rnacentral:rRNA from 1 species
AUUGAACGCUGGCGGCAUGCCUUACACAUGCAAGUCGAACGGCAGCACGGGAGCUUGCUCCUGGUGGCGAGUGGCGAACGGGUGAGUAAUACAUCGGAACGUACCCAGGAGUGGGGGAUAACGUAGCGAAAGUUACGCUAAUACCGCAUAUUCUGUGAGCAGGAAAGCGGGGGAUCGCAAGACCUCGCGCUCUUGGAGCGGCCGAUGUCGGAUUAGCUAGUUGGGGAGGUAAAAGCUCACCAAGGCGACGAUCCGUAGCAGGUCUGAGAGGAUGAUCUGCCACACUGGGACUGAGACACGGCCCAGACUCCUACGGGAGGCAGCAGUGGGGAAUUUUGGACAAUGGGGGCAACCCUGAUCCAGCCAUGCCGCGUGAGUGAAGAAGGCCUUCGGGUUGUAAAGCUCUUUCGGCGGGGAAGAAAUGGCAACGGCUAAUAUCCGUUGUUGAUGACGGUACCCGCAUAAGAAGCACCGGCUAACUACGUGCCAGCAGCCGCAGUAA